CUUGCUAAGUUUGAUGGCGACCGGCGCACGGGUGAGUAACACGUAUCCAACCUGCCGAUGACUCGGGGAUAGCCUUUCGAAAGAAAGAUUAAUACCCGAUGGCAUAGUUCUUCCGCAUGGUGGAACUAUUAAAGAAUUUCGGUCAUCGAUGGGGAUGCGUUCCAUUAGGUUGUUGGCGGGUAACGGCCCACCAAGCCUUCGAUGGAUAGGGGUUCUGAGAGGAAGGUCCCCCACGUUGGAACUGAGACACGGUCCAAACUCCUACGGGAGGCAGCAUG
rnacentral:rRNA from 1 species